CAUUCAUUCUUCCGGUAGAUAUUCUAGACUUUAUCGUUUCUAUUUUUUUCUUCCUGAAAUCGCAUACACCGAUUGUUGUGUUCGAUUUCUACAUUUCAAUGUACUGAUCUCUUGUAAUCGGAGAUUUCAUCGACUUCGUAGCGGCCUUACAGUGUAGCCACCCCACUGCCAUAAUUUCUUAAUAGCAUAAUCGGGAAUAAAUAUAUGUUUGAAAUCCAAAAUCGAAAGGAAUACAAAUCCAAUUUCGUAAUAGUUAGUAGAGCAGAAAGAAAGCGAUUUCAGUCCGUUGCUAAAGUUAUGAAGAAAAAAUGGCGUCCUUGUGGUCUGAUUUUGGAAUAUGUUGGCUGUUGGAUUUCAACGAUGAAGAUAGGGCGACGAUGAAAAAGAGCAGCAAAUCUCUAUAAUCAUAAAGCACGAUAGUGUUUAUUGAGUCGAGUGUUGAAGAGUAUGUUGCAUUCAACAACAGCUUAGAGAAUCUCACAUGAUUUCUUUUCACAUCUUAUGAAAGAAAUAGUAUUGUUGAAGAUGAGAAAGCACAAUAAAACUUGACAAUGGGAAGGAAUGUGGAGGACGUGUUGACGAUAUUGAAAUAUAAAUGGAGUCAAAAUAUUAAUUUCAAGUUGCUAAUUUUUUGGGAUUUCAUUGAAAUUUUGAAAAGAGUCAAAAUAAGAUAGGAUUUGUUACCAAACAAAUCAAACGUGAAUUGCUAUUGUUUCCAAAAAGCAUGGAAUUUAAAUUUAAAUUUAAAUGUUAUAAGAAACCGAAAAAUGCAAUAAGUUGAAAAAAAAUCGGAUUACAAUUUAAUUUUAAUGUAAUUUAAUUUGAAUAAUAAGAAUUAUUCAUAAAAUGACACGUGGCAUGUUAGAAUGGUAGAAAGGGGACAUUUGGCACAUUAAAUGUUUUGUUUACUAGAGGAGGUAGAUUAGAUGCAAUUUAGUUUUUAUUUUAGGCACAUUGUUCAUUAUUUAUAUAUAUACUAAUUUUAAACUACAUCAUGAAUAGGAGUUCGUUGUGUUUGGACCAAAAUCAAAAUUUCUUAUUUAUUUAUUUUUAUUUUUUUAACGUGUCUUCUUUUAUGACAACCUGUGAUACAUCAUUGCUACGUGUUAUAUGUUCAUCAUUGCUACGUCUUAUUUGUUCAUCUCCCACCUCCUGCUACCGAUUACAAAUCGACACAGCAGAUGAACCGCCUCAUCUAAUUUAUCUCUCCAACUCUCUCCGUCUACCUCUAAACCCUCCGCUCACCGCCUCUAACCCUCCAUCUCUCUCUAAAAUACGCUCUGCGUUCCAAAUCAGCUUCCAGUACCUUCCACCGAUCUCUUUUUCCUCUGAAUCCACCUCUUCCAUCGUGGUUGGCGGAUCUCAUUUCGUCGAUGCUUUCUAUCCACCACCGCCCACCACGUUGUCGAUUGUGAUGGAGGGAGAAGAAACAAGAGAUGUAUUUUGGGUUCAACAAGCAUUUAAUCCGGCACCGCUCCCGCUUUUUUCGUCUUUGGUUUUCACAAGUUCAUACUUUUAGGUUUCUGCCUCUUUGAAAAUUGAGAAAUUAGGGCUUACUUAUCGUACCUUCUGUUCUUCUUCCCGUCGAGCAAAGACCACCGAGCCCCACCUGCUUCGCCUUGGUCCACAUAACCAUUUCCAGCUUUCUUCCCUUUUCUUGUCUGCUGUUAACGACGGGACCAUUGAACCAUGAGAAGCUCGCUGGAAAUCGACUGCCUCUCUCCCCUUCUCACGACCCCGCAACCACCGCCAUUCACCACCGAGACAGAAGCCGUUUCCCCCUUCUUCUUUCCCUGCUGCACCCACCGAAACCAUAGCAGUUUCGCUGCUUUUCUCUUUCUUUCCCUUUGAUCCAGUCAGAGAUGGAAAGAGUUUUUCUGUGCUUCAGAAUGUUGAUAAGUUUAAUGGCAGGUAUCCGGGUGGCAUAUUCAACCCACACAACUUUGCACUAACCGCUGUAGCCAAAGAGAAAGAGAUUGCCAAUGAUAUCAGGACAUGAUGGUGGAACUGGAGCCAGUCUAAUAAGUUCAAUCAAGCAUGCUGGUUGGACUCUCAGAAACACAACAUGGUAACCUACUGUUUGAUAUGCCCUGAUGACAAAGUAGAAUGUGUAAUUGUAAAAAGACAACAUGGCUAUCCUCAAGGCAUUUAUUUAACCAUGAGGCUGGAUCUGUGUGACAUUAAUGUCCUUGAAAGAAGUGUAGGUCUAGCUAUACCUUUCUACAAAUUUGAUCUUCUCAUCAAAUCUAAUCUGGUCUAUAUCACGUUCUUAUGUAGCAACGAUUAUUUGUGUAAUCUGUUAAGACUAAGCACCCACAGCUUCACUAUGAGGCCAAAUUGUACAUGCUUCUUCAAGGAGGAACUGGUGUUCCCCACCUUAAAUGGAUUGGAGUUGAAGGCGAAUACAAUGCCAUGGUUAUUGACCUUCUUAGAAGCUUUAUACAAAUAAUGCAAUAUUCAUACGCAUAAGUCUUUUUCAAUUUUGUUUGAGGUGUACCUUAGAAGGAUUGGAUAUCAGUUGUUAGUUUUCAGGUUUUUUUUUGGUCAAGAAAUUAUGCUAUGUUCUCAUACAUCUUAAAUGCUACCUAUUUCUCAUUGUAAUCACAAAUCCAUAAGGUCCA